UAAGUACACCCUCCGUCCGAAAAUACUUGUCGUCAAAAUAGAUAAAAAAAGAUAUAUCUAGAACUAAAAUACAUCUAGAUACAUCCCCUUUUGUUCAUUUUGAUAACAAGUAUUUCCGGACGGAGGGAGUACUAC
rfam:Triticum aestivum genome assembly, contig: Triticum_aestivum_CS42_TGACv1_scaffold_222279_3B